rnacentral:misc_RNA from 1 species
UCUCCGUUGGUGAACCAGCGGAGGGAUCAUUACCGAGUUUACAACUCCCAAGCCCCUGUGAACAUACCAUUUGUUGCCUCGGCGGUGCCUGCUUCGGCAGCCCGCCAGAGGACCCAAACCCUUGAUUUUAUACAGUAUCUUCUGAGUAAAUGAUUAAAUAAAUCAAAACUUUCAACAACGGAUCUCUUGGUUCUG